rnacentral:rRNA from 1 species
AUGAACGCUGGCGGCGCGCCUAAUACAUGCAAGUCGAGCGAGAAGACGUAGCAAUACGUUUGUAAAGCGGCGAACGGGUGAGGAAUACAUGGGUAACCUACCCUCGAGUGGGGAAGUAACUAGCCGAAAGGUUAGCUAAUACCGCGUACGCUCCUUGGACUUCGGUUCAGGGAGGAAAGCGAUACCGUGGGUAUCGCGCUCUUGGAUGGGCUCAUGUCCUAUCAGCUUGUUGGUGAGGUAACGGCUCACCAAGGCUUCGACGGGUAGCUGGUCUGAGAGGACGGAUCAGCCACACUGGCACUGCGACACGGGCCGAGACUCCUACGGGAGGCAGCAGUAAGGAAUAUUGCGCAAUGGGCGAAAGCCUGACGCAGCGACGCCGCGUGGGGGGAGUGAAGGGUACGUUC